GAUGAACGCUGGCGGCGUGCCUAAUACAUGCAAGUCGAGCGAACAGAUGAGAAGCUUGCUUCUCUGAUGUUAGCGGCGGACGGGUGAGUAACACGUGGGUAACCUACCUAUAAGACUGGGAUAACUCCGGGAAACCGGGGCUAAUACCGGAUAAUACUUUGAACCGCAUGGUUCAAUAGUGAAAGACGGUUUCGGCUGUCACUUAUAGAUGGACCCGCGCCGUAUUAGCUAGUUGGUAAAGUAACGGCUUACCAAGGCGACGAUACGUAGCCGACCUGAGAGGGUGAUCGGCCACACGGGAACUGAGACACGGUCCAGACUCCUACGGGAGGCGGCAGUAGGGAAUCUUCCGCAAUGGGCGAAAGCCUGACGGAGCAACGCCGCGUGAGUGAUGAAGGUCUUCGGAUCGUAAAACUCUGUUGUUAGGGAAGAACAAAUUUGUUAGUAACUGAACAAGUCUUGACGGUACCUAACCAGAAAGCCACGGCUAACUACGUGCCAGCCGCCGCCGUAA
rnacentral:rRNA from 1 species